rnacentral:rRNA from 1 species
UACGGAGGGAGCUAGCGUUGUUCGGAAUUACUGGGCGUAAAGCGCACGUAGGCGGCUUUGUAAGUUAGAGGUGAAAGCCCGGGGCUCAACCCCGGAAUUGCCUUUAAGACUGCAUCGCUUGAAUCCGGGAGAGGUGAGUGGAAUUCCUGGUGUAGCGGUGAAAUGCGCAGAUAUCAGGAGGAACACCAAUGGCGAAGGCAGCUCGCUGGGACGGUACUGACGCUGAGACGCGAAAGCGUGGGGAGCAAACAGG